rnacentral:rRNA from 1 species
UACAGAGGUCCCAAGCGUUGUUCGGAUUCAUUGGGCGUAAAGGGUGCGUAGGCGGCGCGGGAAGUCGGGUGUGAAAUCUCGGAGCUUAACUCCGAAACUGCAUUCGAUACUGCCGUGCUUGAGGACUGGAGAGGAGACUGGAAUUUACGGUGUAGCGGUGAAAUGCGUAGAUAUCGGAAGGAACGCCGGUGGCGAAAGUGACGUGCUGGACCUCUUCUGACGCUGAGGCGCGAAAGCUAGGGGAGCGAACGGG